CCUACGGGAGGCAGCAGUGGGGAAUAUUGGACAAUGGGCGAAAGCCUGAUCCAGCAAUGCCGCGUGAGUGAUGAAGGCCUUCGGGUCGUAAAGCUCUUUUACCAGGGAUGAUAAUGACAGUACCUGGAGAAUAAGCUCCGGCUAACUCCGUGCCAGCAGCCGCGGUAAUACGGAGGGAGCUAGCGUUGUUCGGAAUUACUGGGCGUAAAGAGUACGUAGGCGGUUAUUCAAGUCAGAGGUGAAAGCCCGGGGCUCAACCCCGGAACUGCCUUUGAAACUAGAUAACUAGAGUCUUGGAGAGGUUAGUGGAAUUCCGAGUGUAGAGGUGAAAUUCGUAGAUAUUCGGAAGAACACCAGUGGCGAAGGCGACUAACUGGACAAGUACUGACGCUGAGGUACGAAAGCGUGGGGAGCAAACAGGAUUAGAUACCCUGGUAGUCCACGCCGUAAACGAUGAUAACUAGUUGUUCGGUCACUUGGUGACUGAGUGACGCAGCUAACGCAUUAAGUUAUCCGCCUGGGGAGUACGGUCGCAAGAUUAAAACUCAAAAUGAAAUUGACGGCUGNGAGNGCGAGCGACACGAGGAGAGG
rnacentral:rRNA from 1 species